rnacentral:rRNA from 1 species
CUGACUUGGCUUGGGGGACCCUGAUCCGCCUGCCGCGUGAGUGAAGAAGGCCUUCGGGUUGUAAAGCUCUUUCGGCGGGACGAAACCGCCGGUCCUAAUACAGGUGGCGAAUGAUGGUACCCGAAGAACAACCACCGGCUAACUACGUGCCAGCAGCCGCGGUAAUAA